rnacentral:misc_RNA from 1 species
UAAAAUACAAAUUCAUUUACGAAGGUAUUUUUAAUUUAACCAAUAAACAGACCAAUAACUGCUAAGCCAAUAUCAAACCUACCAAUAUCUUAUCGGUUAGGUUAGCAGUUUAGUACAUGUAAACCAACAACCGAUAAAUCGGACCACUAAACACAACCGAUAAGCACCCGUAGCUCAUGCAAAACAGAGCUUUAGAUAUCUACAAAGGCGGUUGACGGACAUAAUAGUCUGCUGAGUACCUUAAUCAUCGAGAUACGGCUAGCAGUAAUCUAGUCUUUGGUUAUCUCCACACUGUUACCCGUAGAAACAUGUGAUGUACCUUGCUCGAUACACUGUAAAAGAUGAUUGUGCAGCCAAUCCAAUGUUUGUGGAAACGUCGUUGCUGAUAUGUUUACCACUGUUAAACCCUGUGAGGUAAAGGAACAGAGAUAGUCCUGUAUAGUCUUCAAGUUAGAUAUCAUAUUAUCUUUGUCCUGGGCAGGAUAUUUCUCACUGCAUGUACGAGUCGCUACCCACUCUUCUAGCAAUGCCUUAUGGUCAAAUUCGGCCAUCCGUAGAACUAUAGGUGCAAUUAUCGGUUGAGCACCAGAUUUUUCUCUUUUAUGAGAAGGAUUUUGGCCUGCCCCUGAAUCUUUAACUUUUUCACCCCUAUUUUCAGAGAUUUCAUUAACAACGUCCAAGGAUUUCAGAGCAGUUGUAAGGUUGUUUAACUCGGAAGAUUUCCCUGGUUCUGAAUUCAUAUUGCAGUCACUCUGACUGUUGUCUCUAACAUUAGAAUUGCUUUUCUGAUGUAAUACAUUCUGUUCUUCCACCUUCAGAGAUUCUGGCCCUGCUUGGUUUGCUGGAGAAGCUGGUGGCAAUUUAUUCUCUUCAUCCAUUAGGUAAAUACUAGGAUCUAGGUGUAUCCCCUCAAUUAUAAUUGGUUUUCCAUCUUUCAUAGCUUUCUUCAAGUCACCAGCCAAACCUUUCCUUACUAUUCUGCAUUCUCUGCAGAAUUCGG